AGGGGGCAGUUUACUGCUCUCGCUAUUAGAUGAGCCUAAGUCGGAUUAGCUAGAUGGUGGGGUAAAGGCCUACCAUGGCGACGAUCUGUAGCUGGUCUGAGAGGAUGAUCAGCCACACCGGGACUGAGACACGGCCCGGACUCCUACGGGAGGCAGCAGUGGGGAAUAUUGGACAAUGGGGGAAACCCUGAUCCAGCCAUGCCGCGUGUGUGAAGAAGGCCUUUUGGUUGUAAAGCACUUUAAGCAGUGAAGAAGACUCCGUGGUUAAUACCCACGGACGAUGACAUUAGCUGCAGAAUAAGCACCGGCUAACUCUGUGCCAGCAGCCGCGGUAAUACAGAGGGUGCAAGCGUUAAUCGGAAUUACUG
rnacentral:rRNA from 1 species